GGUGGUUCUUGAGUGACACCCUUUGGAAUCGGGCUCCCUCCUCUCUGGUUCCAGGUGUGUCACCCGAGAACCAUG
rfam:Myotis lucifugus cont2.10395, whole genome shotgun sequence.